UAUAUAAAUCGGCCGUUUUUGCCCUUUCCUCCCAAUUCUCCUUUUCCAACCAAAACAAAACACACACAAGGGAGGAAAUUAAAAAGGGCCACCCACCACAUUUCCAUGAAGAAAACAGGCCUCUUCGCUGCCUCCGUCGCCGCUGCCUCCGCCACCGCCCUCUCUGCUCCCCCGGCCUCCCCCGGCCUCCUCAAAACCAACUUCUCCCGUCAGGAAAAAGUCACUAGAGAUGAGGAAAGUACUACACCGGCGAGAAGAUCGCCGCCGUCUACGGCAGCAGAUCAAUUUGCUCCGAGAUUCGAUGGGUUGAGAUUCAUUGAAACUCUUGUCACUGCGCAUAGAUGAUAAGCUUUGGCAAUCAAAAUGGCCUUCCAUCAUUUUUCUUUUCUGUCUUAUUGUAAAAAAAAAAAAAAAAAAAACAAUUGCUUUGAGGAAAGAAACCCCAAUUCUGUAUUGCAAGUGGUGGGUUUGUUUUUGUUUUUUUUUUUAGAGGUUGAUCUUGUAAUUCAAUCAUAUAAAUGUAAUGUAAGAAUAUAACGUGACAUGUAUUUUUACUAUGUCAGUCAUUCUGCA